rnacentral:rRNA from 1 species
AUUGAACGCUGGCGGCAGGCUUAACACAUGCAAGUCGAGCGGAGAGAGGUAGCUUGCUACUGAUCUUAGCGGCGGACGGGUGAGUAAUGCUUAGGAAUCUGCCUAUUAGUGGGGGACAACAUUUCGAAAGGAAUGCUAAUACCGCAUACGUCCUACGGGAGAAAGCAGGGGAUCUUCGGACCUUGCGCUAAUAGAUGAGCCUAAGUCGGAUUAGGUAGUUGGUGGGGUAAAGGCCUACCAAGGCGACGAUCUGUAGCGGGUCUGAGAGGAUGAUCCGCCACACUGGGACUGAGACACGGCCCAGACUCCUACGGGGGGCAGCAGUGGGGAAUAUUGGACAAUGGGCGCAAGCCUGAUCCAGGCAUGCCGCGUGUGUGAAGAAGGCCUUAUGGUUGUAAAGCACUUUAAGCGAGGAGGAGGCUACUUUAGUUAAUACCUAGAGAUAGUGGACGUUACUCGCAGAAUAAGCACCGGCUAACUCUGUGCCAGCCGCCGCAGUAACAC